GCCCGACUGGCUCAGUCAGGAGGGCACAUGACUCUUGAUCUCAGGGUUAUGAGUUCAAGCCCCAUGUUGGGUG
rnacentral:tRNA from 1 species